AGGCUUAACACAUGAAGUCGAGACUUCCCCGACAAGGGGAGACGGCAGACGGGUGAGUAACGCGUGGGAAUCUCCAGCUCUACGGAAUAACUCAGGGAAACUUGUGCUAAUACCGUAUGUCCGAGAGGAGAAAGAUUUAUCGGAGUUGGAUGAGCCCGCGUUGGAUUAGCUAGUUGGUGGGGUAAAGGCCUACCAAGGCGACGAUCCAUAGCUGGUCUGAGAGGAUGAUCAGCCACACUGGGACUGAGACACGGCCCAGACUCCUACGGGAGGCAGCAGUGGGGAAUAUUGGACAAUGGGCGCAAGCCUGAUCCAGCCAUGCCGCGUGAGUGAUGAAGGCCCUAGGGUUGUAAAGCUCUUUCACCGGUGAAGAUAAUGACGGUAACCGGAGAAGAAGCCCCGGCUAACUUCGUGCCAGCAGCCGCGGUAAUACGAAGGGGGCUAGCGUUGUUCGGAAUUACUGGGCGUAAAGCGCACGUAGGCGGACAUUUAAGUCAGGGGUGAAAUCCCGGGGCUCAACCCCCGGAACCUGCCCUCUGAUACUGGGUGUCUAGAGUCCGAAAGAGGUGAGUGGAAUUCCCGAGUGUA
rnacentral:rRNA from 1 species